AUUGAACGCUGGCGGUAGGCCUAACACAUGCAAGUCGAGCGGUAGAGAGGUGCUUGCACCUCUUGAGAACGGCGGACGGGUGAGUAAUGCCUAGGAAUCUGCCUGGUAGUGGGGGAUAACGUCCGGAAACGGACGCUAAUACCGCAUACGUCCUACGGGAGAAAGCAGGGGACCUUCGGGCCUUGCGCUAUCAGAUGAGCCUAGGUCGGAUUAGCUAGUUGGUGAGGUAAUGGCUCACCAAGGCGACGAUCCGUAACUGGUCUGAGAGGAUGAUCAGUCACACUGGAACUGAGACACGGUCCAGACUCCUACGGGAGGCAGCAGUGGGGAAUAUUGGACAAUGGGCGAAAGCCUGAUCCAGCCAUGCCGCGUGUGUGAAGAAGGUCUUCGGAUUGUAAAGCACUUUAAGUUGGGAGGAAGGGUACUUACCUAAUACGUGAGUAUUUUGACGUUACCGACAGAAUAAGCACCGGCUAACUCUGUGCCAGCCGCCGCCGUAAGAC
rnacentral:rRNA from 1 species